rnacentral:rRNA from 1 species
GGAUAACACUUGGAAACAGGUGCUAAUCCCGUAUAACACUAUUUUCCGCAUGGAAGAAAGUUGAAAGGCGCUUUUGCGUCACUGAUGGAUGGACCGCGGUGCAUUAGCUAGUUGGUGAGGUAACGGCUCACCAAGGCCACGAUGCAUAGCCGACCUGAGAGGGUGAUCGGCCACACUGGGACUGAGACACGGCCCAGACUCCUACGGGAGGCAGCAGUAGGGAAUCUUCGGCAAUGGACGAAAGUCUGACCGAGCAACGCCGCGUGAGUGAAGAAGGUUUUCGGAUCGUAAAACUCUGUUGUUAGAGAAGAACAAGGAUGAGAGUAAAAUGUUCAUCCCUUGACGGUAUCUAACCAGAAAGCCACGGCUAACUACGUGCCAGCAGCCGCGGUAAUACGUAGGUGGCAAGCGUUGUCCGGAUUUAUUGGGCGUAAAGCGAGCGCAGGCGGUUUCUUAAGUCUGAUGUGAAAGCCCCCGGCUCAACCGGGGAGGGUCAUUGGAAACUGGGAGACUUGAGUGCAGAAGAGGAGAGUGGAAUUCCAUGUGUAGCGGUGAAAUGCGUAGAUAUAUGGAGGAACACCAGUGGCGAAGGCGGCUCUCUGGUCUGUAACUGACGCUGAGGCUCGAAAGCGUGGGGAGCGAACAGGAUUAGAUACCCUGGUAGUCCACGCCGUAAACGAUGAGUGAAAGUGUUGGAGGGUUUCCGCCCUUCAGUGCUGCAGCA